UACGAAGGGGGCUAGCGUUGCUCGGAAUCACUGGGCGUAAAGGGUGCGUAGGCGGGUUUUUAAGUCAGGGGUGAAAUCCUGGAGCUCAACUCCAGAACUGCCUUUGAUACUGAAGAUCUUGAGUCCGGGAGAGGUGAGUGGAACUGCGAGUGUAGAGGUGAAAUUCGUAGAUAUUCGCAAGAACACCAGUGGCGAAGGCGGCUCACUGGCCCGGUACUGACGCUGAGGCACGAAAGCGUGGGGAGCAAACAGGGA
rnacentral:rRNA from 1 species